GACGAACCGUACGAACGUUGUCCGGAAUCAUUGGGCGUAAAGCGCGUGUAGGCGGCCCGAUAAGUCCACUGUGAAAGUCCAGGGCUCAACCCUGGGAUGCCGGUGGAUACUGUCAAGCUCGAGUCCGGAAGAGGAGUGUGGAAUUCCUGGUGUAGCGGUGAAAUGCGCAGAUAUCAGGAGGAACACCAAUGGCGAAGGCAGCACUCUGGGACGUGACUGACGCUGAGACGCGAAAGCGUGGGGAGCAAACAGG
rnacentral:rRNA from 1 species